CCAAUAGCGUAUAUUAAAGUUGUUGCAGUUAAAAAGCUCGUAGUUGAAUUUCGGGAUCAAUUUAUUGGUCGUGCCAACGGUACGCACUGGUACAAUUGGUUUCUCCCUUCUGACGAAGCAUGAUGUCAUUAACUUGAUGUCGUGGGGAAUCAGGACUGUUACUUUGAAAAAAUUAGAGUGUUUAAAGCAGGCUUUGGCUUGAAUACAUUAGCAUGGAAUAAUGAAAUAGGACGUUUGAUCUUAUUUCGUUGGUUUCUAGGAUCGACGUAAUGAUUAAUAGGGAUAGUUGGGGGCAUUAGUAUUCAAUUGUCAGAGGUGAAAUUCUUGGAUUUAUUGAAGACUAACUACUGCGAAAGCAUUUGCCAAGGAUGUUUUCAUUAAUCAAGAACGAAAGUUAGGGGAUCGAAGACGAUCAGAUACCGUCGUAGUCUUAACCAUAAACUAUGCCGACUAGGGAUCGGAUGAUGUUAAUUUUUUAAUGACUCAUUCGGCGCCUUACG
rnacentral:rRNA from 1 species